rnacentral:rRNA from 1 species
CUACGGGAGGCAGCAGUGGGGAAUUUUCCGCAAUGGGCGAAAGCCUGACGGAGCAAUCUCGCGUGAGGGAUGACUGCCUAUGGGUUGUAAACCUCUUUUUUCAGGGAGGAAUAAAUGACGUGUACCUGAAGAAUAAGCAUCGGCUAACUCCGUGCCAGCAGCCGCGGUAAGACGGAGGAUGCAAGUGUUAUCCGGAAUCACUGGGCGUAAAGCGUCUGUAGGUGGUUUAGUAAGUCAACUGUUAAAUCUUGAAGCUCAACUUCAAAAUCGCAGUCGAAACUACUAGACUUGAGUAUAGUAGGGGUAAAGGGAAUUUCCAGUGGAGCGGUGAAAUGCGUAGAGAUUGGAAAGAACACCGAUGGCGAAGGCACUUUACUGGGCUAUUACUGACACUCAGAGACGAAAGCUAGGGUAGCAAAUGGGAUUAGAUACCCCAGUAGUCCUAGCCGUAAACUAUGGAUACUAGAUGUUGAACAGAUCGACCUGUGCAGUAUCAAAGCUAACGCGUUAAGUAUCCCGCCUGGGAAGUAUGCUCGCAAGGCUAAAACUCAAAG